rnacentral:rRNA from 1 species
AGCAGCCGCGGUAAUUCCAGCUCCAAUAGCGUAUAUUAAAGUUGUUGCAGUUAAAAAGCUCGUAGUUGAACCUCGGGGUCUACCCAUUGGUCAGGCUUAAUUGUCUGCACUGGUGAGAUGGAUCUCUACCUUCUGAGGAACUUUCAUGCCAUUUAUUUGGUGUGAUGGGAAAUCAGGACUGUUACUUUGAAAAAAUUAGAGUGUUUAAAGCAGACUAUCGUCUGAAUACAUUAGCAUGGAAUAAUAAAAUAGGACGGACUGAUUCUAUUUCGUUGGUUUCUAGGAUCACCGUAAUGAUUAAUAGGGAUAGUUGGGGGCAUUAGUAUUCGAUUGUCAGAGGUGAAAUUCUUGGAUUUAUUGAAGACUAACUACUGCGAAAGCAUUUGCCAAGGAUGUUUUCAUUAAUCAAGAACGAAAGUUAGGGGAUCGAAGACGAUCAGAUACCGUCGUAGUCUUAACCAUAAACUAUGCCGACUAGGGAUCGGAUGAUGUAAUUUUUUAAUGA